rnacentral:misc_RNA from 1 species
AAAAUUACAAAAAUAAUCAAUAUUUAAUUCACAGAUUGGUCGAUUUGAUUGCAGAUGGUUUGGCUGGAGAGAAGAAAGGCUAGCCUGCACCGAUCACCUUUGUAAAUUCUGUUAUCUAGAACUCGUCCGAAAUGUCUGAAAAUGCUAGGAACGAUUGUAAACAUGACCACUUAACAGAAUAGCCAAUUAUACACUUAGACAGGGCUGAAAACUCAAUCACAAGUGUCGGUGAGCUAUUGUCGAUCCGAUUACACCAAACAAUCUAAACCGUCUGAUGAUCACCUUUUUCAAAUGGUAUCCGAUCG